AGUGUAAUUGCUGGGUCAUAUGAUAUUUACAUGUUUUGUUUUUUAAGAAAUUGCCAAAUUGUUUUCCAGAGUGGCUGUACCAUUUUACAUUCCCACUAGCAAU
rnacentral:pre_miRNA from 1 species